rnacentral:rRNA from 1 species
ACAGAAAUUACAUUGAUGAUUGUGGAUAACUCUGUGCGUAAAAAGGUAUAAAGCGGGGUUUUGCUGGGGAAUGCAGCAGUCAGUUAUUUUUCUGCAAUUUUUCUAUUGCGGCCUGCGGAGAACUCCCUAUAAUGCGCCUCCAUCGACACGGCGGAUGUGAAUCACUUCACACAAACAGCCGGUUCGGUUGAAGAGAAAAAUCCUGAAAUUCAGGGUUGACUCUGAAAGAGGAAAGCGUAAUAUACGCCACCUCGCGACAGUGAGCUGAAAGCCGCGUCGCAACUGCUCUUUAACAAUUUAUCAGAUAAUCUGUGUGGGCACUCGAAGAUACGGAUUCUUAACGUCGCAAGACGAAAAAUGAAUACCAAGUCUCAGGAGUGAACACGUAAUUCAUUACGAAGUUUAAUUCUUUGAGCGUCAAACUUUUAAAUUGAAGAGUUUGAUCAUGGCUCAGAUUGAACGCUGGCGGCAGGCCUAACACAUGCAAGUCGAACGGUAACAGAAAGCUUGCUUUCGCUGACGAGUGGCGGACGGGUGAGUAAUGUCUGGGAAACUGCCUGAUGGAGGGGGAUAACUACUGGAAACGGUAGCUAAUACCGCAUAACGUCGCAAGACCAAAGAGGGGGACCUUCGGGCCUCUUGCCAUCGGAUGUGCCCAGAUGGGAUUAGCUAGUAGGUGGGGUAACGGCUCACCUAGGCGACGAUCCCUAGCUGGUCUGAGAGGAUGACCAGCCACACUGGAACUGAGACACGGUCCAGACUCCUACGGGAGGCAGCAGUGGGGAAUAUUGCACAAUGGGCGCAAGCCUGAUGCAGCCAUGCCGCGUGUAUGAAGAAGGCCUUCGGGUUGUAAAGUACUUUCAGCGGGGAGGAAGGGAGUAAAGUUAAUACCUUUGCUCAUUGACGUUACCCGCAGAAGAAGCACCGGCUAACUCCGUGCCAGCAGCCGCGGUAAUACGGAGGGUGCAAGCGUUAAUCGGAAUUACUGGGCGUAAAGCGCACGCAGGCGGUUUGUUAAGUCAGAUGUGAAAUCCCCGGGCUCAACCUGGGAACUGCAUCUGAUACUGGCAAGCUUGAGUCUCGUAGAGGGGGGUAGAAUUCCAGGUGUAGCGGUGAAAUGCGUAGAGAUCUGGAGGAAUACCGGUGGCGAAGGCGGCCCCCUGGACGAAGACUGACGCUCAGGUGCGAAAGCGUGGGGAGCAAACAGGAUUAGAUACCCUGGUAGUCCACGCCGUAAACGAUGUCGACUUGGAGGUUGUGCCCUUGAGGCGUGGCUUCCGGAGCUAACGCGUUAAGUCGACCGCCUGGGGAGUACGGCCGCAAGGUUAAAACUCAAAUGAAUUGACGGGGGCCCGCACAAGCGGUGGAGCAUGUGGUUUAAUUCGAUGCAACGCGAAGAACCUUACCUG